GAUGCCAGUAGGGGGAGCUCUAGUCUAGAACACUGGAACCUUCAGUAGCACUUUGAUGGAGAUGAUGAGGAGUGGUGGGUCACAUCUUGUGAGGAAACACAUUAAGAAACCAUAUAUCACAGUCAACACUUUGUUGUGGAUCUGUAUUUAAAGAAAAUACUAUGUUGAAAAUGGGCUGCAUUUAGCCCCUUUAAAAAAUGUAGUCCCACUCCUCAAAUGAAGAAAUGUAAAUAGCUAUGCAGUCUUUAGCAGUACAUCCAGUACAUCCCUUUCUGACAUGCUGUUGAUGCAUGUGAUUGUCUUAAAUCCCUGACUAGGCUACUUUCACAAUGUGUCAGUCACUAAAAUCACACUUCUUGUUUCUAUGCACAGCUACGACAGUAAGUUGACUCACUGUACAAGACCUCCCCCCUUCACUCUACUGCAGGGUGGGAGAUGCAAUAAUGGCCUUGAGAACAGCAGGAAGUGUGUUGGGGGUCUUUCUCUGGUCUGUAGCAGGUCUGGUCUCAUUCAUAAUGUUUUAGUAAUGUUAUCUUAAUGUUAUUCUGUGUGUUCAGGGACAUCGUCUGUUAGGGGCUUCUUCUUUUCUGGAAUAGUUGUCUUUUACACCUCACUGAGUAACACUUAGGUCCUUUCUGUGGUUUCCAUUCACACUCAGCAAGUAGAGUACGGCAACAAAAUGUGGACAAAUGCUGUUAGUGUGAGGAAAUGGGUCUGCAAUGUAUAAUCACUAUCAUGUGUGAUUGUGUUUCAGUGUUACUUGGUCAGGAUGGCUGGAGUGUGAAGUACAUCACUCAGAGUAUCUGUACCAUGAAGGGGUUAACAGUGGGGAUGUCCUGCUGUUACACAUAUCCCAGUGGUACAGUCACAACAACCUUCUGUUUCACUAGAAAUGAUGCUGAGGGGAAUCCUGUGACUCUGAGUGAUGAACCAGACUACACAGGUCAUGUGACGUACUGUAGCAACAAGAAGAAUGGCCACACCCUGACAAUCAGAGAUCUGAGAGAGUGUGACUCAGCUAUGUACAAGUUCAGAUUUAUAACAGAUCAGACCGUAAGGAAAUAUAGUGGUGAUCCUGGAGUCACUCUGACUGUCACAGAGUGUCCAUCCUGACCCUAACUGGAAAACACACACCACUGAAAAUGAGGAUCAGACACUCUGGCAUGUGAAAAUCUCCCACAGUGACACGUUCACAUCUCUUCAGAGAGACGCUCAGCACUCCGUGUAUCAGACCAUCCAGGGAAGAGAACCACCACAGAACCUGGAGGGAAGAGAACCACCACAGAACCUGGAGCGAAGAGAACCACUACAGAACCUGGACUAAAGAGAACCACCACAGAAUUUGGACUGAAGAGAACCACCACAGAACCUGGACUGAAGAGAACCACCACAGAACAUGGACUAAAGAGCUAUGGCCCCAAACCAAAGCUAGUCCUUACACUCUAUUCUCUUGCUAAUAUAUUGUUAUAAUAUCUUGAAGUUUCACCCAAAUGACAAAAUGACACAUUGGUUUCCCUUCCCUUUUAUCAGUCUAUGAACAUGGUGUGACAUCAGUCCCUGCUUUGGUUUAGUUUCCCCUGACACUGUUUCCACUUGCUAACGUUUUAGCAUUUGUGGCACAAAUCCCAUUCGUCAUGUGACUGAGAGGCAUUUCUCGCACAUCAUUUCGAAAUCAAUCAAAAGUUAUUUUUAAAUGUGUUGUGAAGCUCAACAAAAUCACUUACAGAUGAUUUGAACAUGAUGAGAGAAUGUUAAUAUGUGAAAUCUUAAUAUCAGUCCUGUGACUUGAAUGGGAUUUUUGUAAAUGUGGGAGUGUUCGACAUUGUAGCCAACUUUAUAGGCGAGUCGAGAUCUACAAAUCACCUUGCAUGAUGAAUAACUACUCAAUAUUAUUUAUAGAUCAUUCAUUCAGUCACAAUUUACCCAUGACACAUCAGUUUUGAUGCUCUCGAACACUGUCUGUGUGACUGCUGAAGGAAGCCUUCUCUGCAUAAGCUUCUUGGUCCCUGACAUAGAGUUGGAUAGAAGGUACAUCUUGACAUCUUUGUCAUGAUGUCUUCUGUGACAGAAUGAGCAGCACCAUUGAGGGAUAUUUCAAUAUUCAAGUUGUUAAUAUCUUCAACUUCCAUAAGUUUAAUAACAGUCGGUAUACCAACUGAAAUGGGGUAUUCAAUGGCUUAGCUAUGCUAAAACAGGCUUUGAAGCAAGUACGCCCUCUAUUCAACUCUAUUGUCCCUGACUGCUUCAAUGUUGUGUCAACCACAGACUUCAAACCUGACACUCAGUGUCUAUUUACAUAGACUUCCAGUAAGUGAACUUACAACACAUCUCCCCUUCACUCUGUAAGUCUGCUUGACUAUAUCUUACAAUAUGUUUAUUUUAUCAUUUGUUUGUUUCCAUGAACUUCUGUAUCCUGUUAUCUGCAUGGUGAUGCUGUUGUAAUGUAUGUUUUGUUUUUCUGUUAUUUACAGUAUAAUCUAUAGAUGUAUUUCUGCGUAUUUAAUCUGAUACAGUAUUGUACAUGGGGUUACACAUGUAAUAUUUUUGUAUGGUAUUUUAAGGACUCUCAAAGCAAUAGAUUGUUGUGGAGACUUGUUUGAAAAUGACCUAAAGUAAGAUUGAGAGUAACAGUGA